UAUGAAGUUCGGGCAUACACACACAACACGACUCUCAAUGUGAAGAACGGUGUGUGCAAAGUAGAAGAGAAAGGCUUUAAAGUGUGUAAGAAGGCUUAUAAUGGACUGCCAAAGAAGCCUUAUAUAACUUUAAAUGGAUGAACACUCGGCUCCUGCCGGUAAAAAUAUGACUGAAUAUAAGCUCACAAGUGUUUAAAAUGAGAAAGCAC
rnacentral:lncRNA from 1 species